rnacentral:sRNA from 1 species
UUCCAGGGAUGUACCGAGGUUGACGGA